rnacentral:rRNA from 1 species
CCGUAGCCCAAGAGAUCGGGAUAACACCUGGAAACAGAUGCUAAUACCGGAUAACAACAGAUGAUGCCUAUCAACUGUUUAAAAGAUGGUUCUGCUAUCACUCUUGGAUGGACCUGCGGUGCAUUAGCUAGUUGGUAGGGUAACGGCCUACCAAGGCGAUGAUGCAUAGCCGAGUUGAGAGACUGAUCGGCCACAUUGGGACUGAGACACGGCCCAAACUCUACGGGAGGCAGCAGCA